rnacentral:rRNA from 1 species
UGGGGAAUUUUGCACAAUGGGGGAAACCCUGAUGCAGCGACGCCGCGUGAUUUAGAAGGCCUUCGGGUUGUAAAAAUCUUUUUUACGGGAUGAAAAUGGCAGUACCGUAAGAAUAAGGUCCGGCUAAAUACGUGCCAGCAGCCGCGGUAAUACGUAUGGACCGAGCGUUGUCCGGAAUCAUUGGGCGUAAAGGGUACGUAGGCGGCCUAGUAAGUUAGAAGUGAAAUAAUAUAGCUCAACUAUAUAAAGCUUUUAAAACUGCUAGGCUUGAGAGAUGGAAGGGAAAGUGGAAUUCCUAGUGUAGCGGUGAAAUGCGCAGAUAUUAGGAAGAAUACCGGUGGCGAAGGCGACUUUCUGGUCAUCAUCUGACGCUGAGGUACGAAAGCGUGGGUAGCAAACAGG